GCUCAAUAGAUUUUGGUUCUCUCUUUAUUCUUCUUCUCCUUCUCUUCUCUUUUCUUCUUUUUGAAUUGAUUCAACAUAUUGAUUUGAGAUUCAUUAUAUUGUUAUCAUUGCGAUCAUGAAGGGAGCAGAGCCGAAAGCCACGGCCAAGCUAGCAGAGAAAGAGAAGUCUCCUUCUCCCAGAAGCAAUAUCCUUUGGUAACUAUUAUAUUGUCUUAUACAUUUCCCUUCGGCCACCAAAUAAUUUAUCACCUUCUCUCCUCAACUCUCUCCAGAGUCACUCGAGCAUGGCUGAUUUUUCUCGUUGUCAGAUGAGUUUCUGUGGGCAAGAGAGUGAUGUGCCAAGGAAGGUACAUCAAUUAUCAAAGAUGAAUCUGAACUAGGUGAAAAAAUCUCUUGGAUUUACAAAGAAGCAUGAUUUCGACUCGAUAUUAUUGGAUUUUCAACAGGAAUGAUUGGUUCUGGUUUUCUUGGCUUUGCAGAGAAAAUUAAGUAUGCGAUCCUCCAAAAUAGAUUCUUGAAAAUGUUACACAAUGAUUCGACAAAAGAACAUUACUGCCAACUAUAUAUAUAUAUAUAUAUAUAUAUAUAUAUAUAUAUAUAUAUAUAUAUAUAUAUAUAUAUAUAUAUAUAUAUUUCAUCUUCAAAUCAUUUCAUGUGGACUGUCC
rnacentral:lncRNA from 1 species